rnacentral:rRNA from 1 species
CCUACGGGUGGCAGCAGUGGGGAAUAUUGCGCAAUGGGGGCAACCCUGACGCAGCAACGCCGCGUGAUUGAAGAAGGUCUUCGGUAUGUAAAGCUCUUUCAGCCGGGACGAAAAUUAAGGUUACCCACACAGAACGCUCCGCCUAAAACCGAGCCACCAGCCGCGGUAAAAGGCAGGGACCAAGGUUAAUCCGGAUUUACGGGGGUUAAAGGGCGUGAAGGCGGGCAUGCAGUCCGGAAGUGAAAUCUUGGGGCUUAACCCCCAACCUGCUUUUGAACCUGGGUGUCUUGAGUGAUGGAGAGGCAGGCGGAAUGCCCAGUGUAGCGGUGAAAUGCGUAGAUAUUGGGCGGAACACCAGUGGCGAAGGCGGCUUACUGGA